UACGUAGGGGCAAGCGUUGUCCGGAAUUACUGGGCGUAAAGGGUGCGUAGGCGGCCCUUUAAGUCAGAUGUGAAAGCCCGCAGCUUAACUGCGGAAUUGCAUUUGAAACUGGAGGGCUUGAGUGUCGGAGAGGGUAGUGGAAUUCCCAGUGUAGCGGCGAAAUGCGUAGAUAUUGGGAGGAACACCAGUUGCGAAGGCGGCUCUCUGGACUGUAACUGACACUGAGGCACGAAAGCGUGGGGAGCAAACAGGAUUAGAUACCCUGGUAGU
rnacentral:rRNA from 1 species